GAUGAAGAACGUAGCGAAAUGCGAUAAGUAAUGUGAAUUGCAGAAUUCAGUGAACCAUCGAAUCUUUGAACGCACAUUGCGCCCCCUGGUAUUCCGGGGGGCAUGCCUGUCCGAGCGUCAUUGCUGCCCUCAAGCACGGCUUGUGUGUUGGGCCCCGUCCUCCGAUCCCGGGGGACGGGCCCGAAAGGCAGCGGCGGCACCGCGUCCGGUCCUCGAGCGUAUGGGGCUUUGUCACCCGCUCUGUAGGCCCGGCCGGCGCUUGCCGAUCAACCCAAAUUUUUAUCCAGGUUGACCUCGGAUCAGGUAGGGAUACCCGCUGAACUUAAGCAUAUCAAUAAGCGGAGGA
rnacentral:misc_RNA from 1 species